CCACACCGCAUUUUUGCACCUGUCCCAAGUCAGGAGCCUCUGGCCUUUGUUAGUCUUGUAUUAUUUUAAUUUUAGUUUCUUGUGUACAAUUUGGAAAUUAGUAUGGCGUUCAUUAUCACUGAACUAGUAUAUAUUUGUUAAGGGGCCAGCUGAAGGACGACUCUGGGUGCGGGAAUUUCUCGCUACAUUGAAGACCUGUUG
rnacentral:lncRNA from 1 species